GCAAAGAGUUAAAGGAGAGAGAGAGAGAAAAAAAAAACACAAAAUAGUUCAUAGAUAUCAUGGGAUGAAUAUUCUCUUUAAUUCCUCUUACUCAAGUCUCACUCACUUAAUUAUUUUAAGUUCUUGAUAAGCUCAAGGAUUUAGAACACCAAAAAAGUAGAUCAAGAUCAAGAGGAAAUUAAUUAUAUCAAACAAAAGAUGGCUGGAGGUUCAUCAACAUCAUCUAUGUUUUUUGGAAUGAGAGAAGAAGAAUUAAGUCAAAAUCAACAAGAAAAUCUCCUUCAAGCUCAAGCACCAUCAAAGAAGAGAAGAAAUCAACCAGGCACACCAAGUCCAGACGCAGAAGUGAUAGCGUUAUCACCAAAGACUCUAAUGGCAACAAAUAGAUUCUUAUGUGAGGUAUGCAACAAAGGUUUUCAAAGAGAACAAAACUUACAACUCCAUAGAAGAGGACACAAUUUGCCAUGGAAAUUAAAGCAAAAAAAUACAAAAGAAGUUGCAAAAAGAAAGGUGUAUCUUUGUCCAGAACCAACAUGUGUUCAUCAUGAACCAAGUAGAGCACUUGGUGAUCUUACUGGGAUUAAAAAACAUUAUUUUAGAAAACAUGGUGAGAAAAAAUUCAAAUGUGAAAAAUGUUCAAAGAAAUAUGCUGUUAAGUCUGAUUGGAAAGCACAUACCAAAACUUGUGGCACUAGGGAGUAUAGAUGUGAUUGUGGCACUCUUUUCUCCAGGCGCGACAGCUUCAUCACACAUAGAGCCUUUUGUGAUGCCUUGGUUCAAGAAAAUGCAAGAAAUAUCCUUUCACCAAACUCCUUGAUGAACACCCUUGGCAUGAACAACAACCAAUAUUUAUAUGGAAGUAGUAGCAACAUAAACUUAGGCACCUUCUCCAAAUUGGGCAAUAACAACAACAGCAUCACAAAGACUACUACUACUACUACUACUAGUGGUGUUCAAUUUGAUCAUCAUCAUGACAACAACCUCAUUGGAUCAAGUACUACUACUACUACUAACAAUCCUUUUUUCCUUCAAGAAACAAAUCAAGAUUACAAUCCUAACAACAAUAUCAAACCAUUAAUGGUCCAUGGCCUAAUGCAACUUCCUAAUCUUGAUCAAAACAAUGAUAACAACAAUAGUAGUAGUACUAUGUUUAACCUCAACUUUUUUCAAAACAAUUUGUCUACCAAUAGUGGAAUUUUGGGUGAUCAUCAUCAUGAUAACAAUAAUAUAAGUUGUUCAAUUCCAUCACUUUAUGGGGUACAAGUACUUGAGAGUAGUAAUACAACUUGUUCAUCUGGACCAAUAAUGUCAGCCACAGCAUUACUACAAAAGGCAGCACAAAUGGGAUCUUCUAGUACAAGUAAUAUUAGUGCAACUGCCUCAUUGUUCAAAGCCUUUGGAAGUACUAGUGGUUCAUCAUCUAGUGGCACAAAAUCUGAUCAUCAAGCUUUCAACUUUGGUAGUGACAUUACAGUAGAUGGUGGUAUCAUCAAUGCUUAUGGAGGUGGAUCACAUGAAGGCAUGUACAAUACAUCAACAAAGUUGAACUUUGAGCAACAUCAAGGUCCACCUCAAAAGAAACAAUUAACUAGAGACUUUCUUGGAGUUGGGGAAAUAGUAAGAAGUAUGAAUGGGAGAUUUAGUACCCAAAGAGAACAACAACAACAACAGAAUAAUGGAUUGAACAAUAUGAUGAGCUCAUUAUUGGAUCCAGAGAGAAACCAAACCCAACAGAGUUUUGGAAGUGCUACCAAUUUUCAAUGACUAGCUUGUUCAAGAAAAAAAAUGUGAAAGUUAAAUGAAGAAAAGGAGAGCACAAAAAAAAAACAGGGUAUGUAUCUAUGUUUGGAAGGAGGAGAAUUUCUAAGGAUGAAAAAACUUUGUUUGUUGUUUAAUUUUCCUUUAAAUUCUUAAGACUUUUUUUUUUACCCCUUUUUUGUAGUUAUAAGUUCUAUAGUCUUGACUCUAUUUCUUUAGUCCUUUCUUUUUAGUUUUUUAUUUGAAGUACUGUUCAGAAAAAUAGGUCAAGACACGAACAAUAUUUAGUUUGAUGAAAAAACUCUUAGAUCUAAAUGUAAAUAUAUAAUAUGUUUGAAUUUUCUUAA